ACCAUUUCAGAAGGCAGUGUGCUCGCUGAUGAAAAGGCCAUGGUCAUUCUCUUAGGAAAUCUGCUGGGUCUGGCUCUGACAGUCCUCAGCUGCUCCAUAAAUCUUCCAUCAGUUCCAUCCAGCCAAAAAGAUGUCAUCACCGUUUUCUCCUAGCAACAAGGAAUAAAAGGGCCAUCUCCAACAAGACUGUCAGAAAAAUGAGGAGCAGAGCCCAAGAUGAUUGGAACAUCCUUUGUGACCCGAGAACCCUGCUACUGUUCCCAGAGCUCUGCCCCUUGACCCUACUGAGGCUCCAACAGACUGGCACCAGAUAUUUCGCUUCAGUGAUGCACAAGUGAUGACUCCAUCCUCCAUCUGCAGGGCCCAGCAACUUCAACAGAGAGUAUUUGGAAACAAAGUGAGGAGUGCUUGCAGUCUUUCCAGCCUUUCCUCCUGACACUCCCUCAACCCAG
ensembl:lincRNA Gm20468 predicted gene 20468